rnacentral:lncRNA from 1 species
ACUUUAGUGUUGUUUUGCCUCGCUUUUGGUACACAGUUCCAGGCUCGACUCUUGAAGGUACCCCAGCUUCCGUGGGUCCCUCGGCCCCAGCCAAGGUCUCUAUGCCUUCAAGGCCACACCAAACUAAACUGUGGCAUUUAACUCGAAAAAACAUAUAUGGAAACGAAAGCUGGUAAGAAGUCUUUAAUCAUGGUGCGUGAAUACUUGUGCCUACAGCUGGGAUCAAGCAAACUCUUACUGCUAGUUUAUGCAGAGGCUUCCAGCUAGUUAGAAGACAAGGAUUAGACUUCGUAAAGUUAUUGCCAGAAGUGGGAUCCAGUUCAUAUGGAUAAGCGGCACAGAGCGAGGCAGGAGGACCUGGAGGCGGCCAUUCUGGUACUGCCCAACUGGUCUCGCACUAAAGGGUUCCUGUGAUGCCACAACCCCCAGCUUCUCAGUCUUCAACCCACAGCAAACUAGACACCCCAUCCUGUGGAAUACCUGAUACCUGGAAAUGUAGCUGGUAAGAAGUAAAGUUUCUGAUGGUGCGUGAAUACUAAUACCUACAGCUGGGAUCAAGCAAACUCUUACUGCUAGUCUUGGCAGAGGCUUUCAGCUAGUUAGUAUCCAAGAGGAUAAGGACGACUUUAUAAAGAGCGCUAUCGCAAGUGGGAUCCAGUUGACGUGAUCUUGAUGAUUUCGGGGCUUUAGUGUCCCCGCGGCCCGGUCCUCGACUCUCCACCCCCAGGAAGCAGCCCGUGACAGCUGAUUAACACCCAGGACAAAUGCCUCCGGUGACGUAAGCUAAAUUCAACGGAAGCUGUACCACUUUCAUCGCUGAAGAGCUCCUCUACACUCGAAACUACUGAAGACGUCCUCCUCAAAACUGACGUAAAAUUAUGUUGACGAGACCACACACUAGAAAUUGAAGGGACGACGACGUUUCGGUCCGUCCUGACGUAAAAUUAGUCUGGUCAACGCUACCUACUCGGCUCCUUCCCUGCAGCUUUUUAAUGCGUCUGUAACCUGCGGACUCCCGCCUCCAGAAAUAUCUCCUUCGCCACACAAUGUUGAAGUCCUGCGUUGGAAAGUUCUUCGUGUAUCCGUUUUCUUUUUCUAUUUAAAAUGACCACAUGUUCUAGCUCCACUAAAAGAUUAGUCAAGCCAAAACUCUUUGCGUAAUAGUGACUUUA